AAAAAUCUCAUUGAAAAUCUUGAUAUUUUUAUCCAAGUUUGCUUGAUUUACAACGGACACUGCCUUUUUGCGCCGCUCGUAUGUAUGAGAACUCUUCAAACAAGAACUAGAAGAAUAUUUUUAUUCCCCGGUAAGAUUUUUAUAUUUGAAUAUUUCUAGAUUCUAGCUUGCUUGAUUAAACUCGAUAGAAAUACAAAUCCCCGUACGAAAAAUGGUUGGGAAUUCUGUAAUUUUAUUGUUCUUGUGAUUUACCACUAGCCUCUGUGUUUUCAUAUGGUUUUAAAGGCUGCUUGUGGUGUUAAAAUCCUUACUGUGCACUUAUAUAUUGAUUUAGUACUACAGACUUCAGUGUUAUAGAGAUACGGUAUAUUAAAGCAAAUUUUCCCUGACAAACUUUGAGUGAUAUAUAUCCUUGCCAGGUUCUUGUAGCAGUUAUUUAUAAUUUCAUACUGUGUAGUUAUAUUAAAUGUCACUUCUACAACAGGCAAACUGAAAAAUUGCUUUGCUAGGCCAAAGAUAAUGUAUCAAGUUCAAACCAUUCAAAUGAUUCAAUACCCAUUGCAAUCAAGCAAUAACCAUAAACCUCUGAAUAUAUAAGCCCCAAUGACAGACCCCAAAUAUAAGCCCUCCUGUGUAGAACGGCCACCAUAAGAAAUUCUGAAUAUAAGCCCUCUCCCGAAUUUAAGUCCCUCAGUCUGUGUUAGCCCAUGGACUUAUUUUUGGACAGGUAUUUUUUAAUGCAGCAAAGGGAUCCAUUCCAACAGCUCAGCCAUCAAAAAUGCUAAUGAAUGCAUACAAGCAUUCAGAGGUUUACAUGGUACAUUCAUCUGACCAACAUAGUUUGUCAGAGUUCUAUAAAUCUCACAGCCAUUAGAGUUGUAGUUAAGUAUUUGUAGGAAUGAAGGGUGUGUACGUGCCAGCCAAUGCAUAUUCUCUCAAUCACUGCCCUUGGCAUUGACCAAAAUUGUGCCCUGACAAUUAACCAAUCAAAUUGAUGAUUGAUAACAUGUUUGAGAGCAUCUUCAGUGGGAGUGUUACUGUUCUCAGUGUUGGAGUAGAGCCAAACUGUUCAGUUAGACAUUAUUUAUGAACUUUCUCUCUUAGAUCUGCAUACAUUAGAUCAUAUUUGAUAUAUUCUAAUGUAAAAUGAAACUUUGGGAUAGUUAAGAAAUACAAUUAAUCCAUUUAUAAUGGACAAUUGUCGUCUUGACAGGUAAAAUUUCCUGGCAUAUUAGACGGGCUUAUAAAUGCCAGAACCUAUAUAUGUGAGUCAAUUUAUUUGACAUACCAUGAUAUUAAUUAACCAUUAGGUUGCAUUGUGCCCUAAUGCACCCCACUUUAUUAUUUUACUCUGUCUAACACCAGACAGUUGUGGACUGGAGAGCCAUGCGUUAACAUAUCAAUAAUAUCUAAGUGAACAGUUUAGGCUCGAUCUGCUCUACAGUAAAUUUCCCUGUAAUCGGAGUCUGGGAUCUGUGACCCAAUACAUCUUCAGUGUCUUCAUAUGGUACUGUCACUAUUUUAUAUGUAUAAUGGACAUUUCUCAUUCAGGGCGAAACUGAUGUAAGUCAUGUGGACAAGAAAUUAAUACAAGCCAGACCUAACUGGCAGAACUAACAAUGACUUUUCUCUAUAAUUUUGUGGGAAUGUGUUAUAUUUACUCUGUACAAACAGCCAAAAAAUGAUGCAUGAGCU